GACGAACGCUGGCGGCGUGCUUAACACAUGCAAGUCGAACGGAAAGGCCCUGCUUUUGUGGGGUGCUCGAGUGGCGAACGGGUGAGUAACACGUGAGGAACCUGCCCUUGACUUUGGGAUAACUUCAGGAAACUGGGGCUAAUACCGGAUAGGAGCUCCUGCUGCAUGGUGGGGGUUGGAAAGUUUCGGCGGUUGGGGAUGGACUCGCGGCUUAUCAGCUUGUUGGUGGGGUAGUGACUUACCAAGGCUUUGACGGGUAGCCGGCCUGAGAGGGUGACCGGCCACAUUGGGACUGAGAUACGGCCCAGACUCCUACGGGAGGCAGCAGUGGGGAAUAUUGCACAAUGGGCGGAAGCCUGAUGCAGCAACGCCGCGUGCGGGAUGACGGCCUUCGGGUUGUAAACCGCUUUCGCCUGUGACGAAGCGUGAGUGACGGUAAUGGGUAAAGAAGCACCGGCUAACUACGUG
rnacentral:rRNA from 1 species